rnacentral:rRNA from 1 species
UAAUGUAUGGGGAUCUGCCCGAUAGAGGGGAUAACUACUGGAAACGGUGGCUAAUACCGCAUAAUGUCUACGGACCAAAGCAGGGGCUCUUCGGACCUUGCACUAUCGGAUGAACCCAUAUGGGAUAGCUAGUAGGUGGGGUAAAGGCUCACCUAGGCGACGAUCUCUAGCUGGUCUGAGAGGAUGAUCAGCCACACUGGGACUGAGACACGGCCCAG